rnacentral:rRNA from 1 species
UACGUAGGGUGCGAGCGUUGUCCGGAAUUACUGGGCGUAAAGAGCUCGUAGGUGGUUUGUCGCGUUGUUCGUGAAAACCGGGGGCUUAACCCUCGGCGUGCGGGCGAUACGGGCAGACUGGAGUACUGCAGGGGAGACUGGAAUUCCUGGUGUAGCGGUGGAAUGCGCAGAUAUCAGGAGGAACACCGGUGGCAAAGGCGGGUCUCUGGGCAGUAACUGACGCUGAGGAGCGAAAGCGUGGGGAGCGAACAGG